GUCCUCCUGAUUUUUUAUGAGGUCAGGCCUGCCCGGUGAUUUUUUAACGGCCGCGGUAUAUUGACCGUGCAAAGGUAGCAUAAUCAUUAGUCUUUUAAUAGAAGGCUGGUAUGAAAGGUUUAACGAAGUGUUAACUGUCUCAUUUUUAUAGUUUAAAAUUUAAUUUUUGAGUUAAAAAGCUCAGAUUUUUUUGUAGGACGAGAAGACCCUAUAGAGCUUUACAUUUUAUAUUUUAAUAAUAUUUAAUAUUGUGUUAUUAUUUUAUUUAUGUUUAGUUGGGGUGACGAAAGAUAUAUAAUUAGCUUCUUUAUUUUGAUUUCAUUUAUUUAUGGUUAUUUGAUCCUUUAUUAUUGAUUAUUAGUUUAAGUUACCUUAGGGAUAACAGCGUAAUCUUCUUUUGGAGUUCUAAUUUACAAGAAGGGUUGCGACCUCGAUGUUGGAUUAAGAUAAUUAUUUGGUGCAGUAGCUGAAUUAAUAGGUCUGUUCGACCUUUAAAUUCUUACAUGAUCUGAGUUCAGACCGG
rnacentral:rRNA from 1 species